AUUGAACGCUGGCGGCAUGCUUUACACAUGCAAGUCGAACGGUAACAGGCCUUCUUGUGCUGACUAGUGGCGGACGGGUGAGUAAUUCAUCCGUACGUACCCAGAGUGUGGGGGUAACUCAGCGAAAGCUGGCCUAAUACCUCAUGCGUUCUGAGUAUGAAAGCGGGGGACCGAGCAGCAAGGUUUGGCCUCGCGCGUUUGGAGCUGCCGAUGUCGGAUUAUCUAGUUGGUGGGGUAAAGGCCUACCAAGGCGACGAUCCGUAGCUGGUCUGAGAGGACGACCAGCCACACUGGGACUGAGACACGGCCCAGACUCCUACGGGAGGCAGCAGUGGGGAAUUUUGGACAAUGGGCGAAAGCCUGAUCCAGCAAUGCCGCGUGCGUGAAGAAGGCCUUCGGGUUGUAAAGCGCUUUUGGCCGGAAAGAAACGCUGUGCGCUAAUACGGGCCGGUAAUGACGGUACCUGAAGAAUAAGCACCGGCUAACUACGUG
rnacentral:rRNA from 1 species